GGUCAUGAUCAGAUAACAGCAAAUCCUUCCUUCCACCCCAGCUUCACAAGUGCUGUCAGAUUCACAGGCAGCUACGUCUUCUCAUGAGGGGAGCAAUAAAUGGAACAUGUGCAAAAUGAUUUUAUCAAGAGCCUCUCAGAUGAUGGCCACAGAGGACGGGACUCCAAGAUAUUCCCCCACAAGAGAAUUGGAUUGGCUCAACCUCACCUCUGGAAUGGUUUCUCCUGGGCCAGUGUCCACCCCAAGGCCAAUCUGCUGUGGCUGGGUGAGGGUGGGGUGCAGAGCCCCUUAGAAACUUGGCUACAGCAGCCUAUCCUUAGGAGUUAUUGGGGGCAGCUCAGUGCUGAGGAAGGAAGACACCUUUUCAGUGAGCUGGGAAAGUCUCCCCAUGAAGGAUCUCCCACGGUGAGAUUAGGCAGGGGGCCCCAGCACAGAUGAGAUUGGUAGAGAAUCUGACCUGCCUGAGGCAAGAGCUCAUGAUGAAGAUUAGUGAGAGUCCAGCCUCCAUUGAGUCAUGGAAAGCUUUCCUGCUGCAGAUGGAAAGGUUUCCUAGAAUUCUGUCUCCAAUCAACUGCAAAUCUUCUAACGUGGGAGCAUUGGUACCUUAUGGCCGCAGAGACGUGCGAUUAAGGCAGAGGAUGGCUGUGCUGGCUAGCAUGUUUCCAUAAGAGAUAACUUAUUGGUUAUUCAGAGGUCCGUCCAAAGCUGUGAGUCUAAUUAGCUCUAAUAUCCUCUUUGCAGCAAAACCUAAUGUGAAAACACAUUUGGUUAAUUAGCCUUGUGAAAAUAACGCUCCCCACUUCUGCCCCAGCCUCCAGGUCUCUUCACUAGGCAGCCAGAGCCACGGCGUCCUGGGGAGAGCCAAGGCCCUGACUCUCUAAUAACACAAGUGGACUCCUGGGAGCCCUUGCUCCACCCCUGGACUCCAGAGAAUUGAGCUGUUUCUUCUCAUCCUCUCCUCCUCUCCUCCUGGCUGAGACUUGCAGAGAUGGAUAGCAGCACAGUGUCUGACCUAGAAGGGCCACUGCGAAGCACCUCUUCAUUUGAUUUUAUCUAUCUAUCCAUUGAUUGAUCCAUCUAUCCAUUAUCUAUUUUUCUUGUGGUACAACAUACAAUUUACCCUCUUUUUUGGAGACAGGGUCUCAUUCUGUCAUCCAGGCUGGAGUGCAGUGGUGUGAUCAUAGCUUGCUGAAGCCUGAACUUUCUGGGAUCAAGAGAUCCUCCCACCUCAGCCUCCCUAGUAGCUGGGGUUACAGAUGCCCACCACUAUGCCCAGCUAAUUUUUUAUUAUUAUUAUUUUUUGUAGAGACAAGGUCUCCUUAUGUUGCCCAGGCUGAUCUUGAACUCCUGGGCUCAAACUAUCUUCCUGCCUCCACCUGCCAAAGUGCUGGGAUUGCAGGCAUGAGCCACCACACCUGGCCAAAUUUACCCUUUUAACCAUUUGUAAGUAUACAAUUCAGUGGUAUUAAGUACAUUCACAUUAUUGACCAACCAUCACCACAAUCCCACCCAGAAAUUUUUUUUCAUCCCUAACAGAAACUCUGUAUCCAUUAAAUACUAACUGCUG
rnacentral:lncRNA from 10 species